CAGCUUAAGAUCCCUACAUCUUCCAGGCCCCCUCCUCAGCCUGGGUUCCCCAAUAUGGUCCAGACCCCCACAUGAGGAUAUCAUCCCCCCUCCAACAUGGGCCCCAGACACCCGCCCAUAGGCCUCACGCGCUUUCCGCUAGGAGCCCCACUUGACCCCCUCUAGAGCCCCCAUCAACUCAGCUUCUCCCCACAUAGACUUCAUCCCGGGACUCUGGAGGGUGCUGAGGAGCUUCGAUUCUCCACCCUGGAAUCUGCCUGGGGCACACUUUCCGGCUCACUGGAGAGAAGGGGGUGACGGAGCUUGUAAACGCCCAGUCGGGCUGCCGGUGGAAGAAGCGGCGGGAAGAUCGCUGGCAGGGCACGGCCCUCGUGAGUCGCCCUCCGUGCGUGUGUACACCUCUCGUUCCUGAUUGUAAAACCCACACACGUGCACAUGAAAGUUCUCCAGAGGAUCAAGAAGGAAAAAGUCACAUGGACUACUCCUCCACUUUUCACUUGUCAUAAGCAUUUCCCAUGUCAUUAAAAAUCCUUCCUAAA